rnacentral:rRNA from 1 species
CGGAGGGUGCAAGCGUUAUCCGGAUUCACUGGGUUUAAAGGGUGCGUAGGUGGGUUGGUAAGUCAGUGGUGAAAUCUCCGUGCUUAACAUGGAAACUGCCAUUGAUACUACUAGUCUUGAAUUAUCUGGAGGUAAGCGGAAUAUGUCAUGUAGCGGUGAAAUGCUUAGAUAUGACAUAGAACACCAAUUGCGAAGGCAGCUUGCUACAGGUAUAUUGACACUGAGGCACGAAAGCGUGGGGAUCAAACAGGAUUAGGAUACCCUGGUAGUCCACGCCCUAAACGAUGGAUACUCGACAUUUGUGAUACACAAUAAGUGUCCUGAGCGAAAGCAUUAAGUAUCCCACCUGGGAAGUACGACCGCAAGGUUG